GCACAGAGGCCAUGCGAUCCGUC
rnacentral:siRNA from 1 species